rnacentral:lncRNA from 1 species
CUUUUUCAGCCGCGUCAUCACCUGUCAUAUGCACACUCAACUUUGCGCAAAUCACGGGCAAUUUGUCGAAGAUUUCUGAUAAAGAAGAAAGCACGUGAAGCCAUAUUGAUCAAUCACGCAUUGGUUGCCGACACGAGUGAAAGAAUAGUACCUCUACAGGUAUUAAGGGACCUCCUAUAACUGUCCACCUUCACCUUCCAUAGCAAGGCAGACAUACGGAACCUUUCUUCAUCUCCGAGAAUGCCUUCCCAACGAAGCCUCUCGAGUCACUCAGUGUUCCUUAUUCCUUGGGGUACCUCUGCAAGCCAAUAACUCCAAAGCAAAAGUAUCUCAUAUCACCAGGGUAGAAAGCAAGAGUAUCUCAUAUCAUGCGUUCUCCCUGUCCUUUCCUUUGUCCUUGUUCUUACCUACAAAGACAAGGAUAAAGAAAACAAUAUGCCGGAACUUCCACUCAAACUCGGGUAAGGAACCGACUGCUUGGAACCCUUCCCUGAUUGCCUACCUAGCACUGCUCUCGAGUACUCGCCUUCCACUGCUGCUGUACUUUCAAAGAAGCUGCCACAUCUACCUGAAGAACAGAUAAGGCAAGUGAAAAUGAUACCUUGCAGCAUGUGGAGACAAGGUGCAGAAGGAACAAGCAGAGAAGAAUGCGGUCUCCACGGUCAACUCAGCAGAAGGAGUCCGAACUGAGGAACUCGAGAAGCUGCCAUAUCUACCUGAAGAAACAAGCAGAGAAGAAUGCAGCAUGCACAGUCAACUCAGCAGAAAGAGUCCGAGAUGAAGAACUCGAGAAGAUGCUGCAUCUGCCUGAGGACGGUGAACUUGUUUUGACCCUCAAAUUCUUGGGUCGGCUUACUAGGCGUUGUGAGCUGCACAUGCCGAUUCACCACCCUUAAAUCGAAUCCUUAAAGAUCAAGUCACCAACUGGAAGAAGAGUUCAUCAAUCUUGAAGAUCAUACCGUUGACCAAA